UACGUAGGGACCAAGCGUUGUCCGGAUUUACUGGGUGUAAAGGGUGCGCAGGCGGACUGGUUAGUCUGGGGUGAAAUCUCAUCGCUCAACGGUGAAACUGCCUUAGAUACUGCCAGUCUUGAAUUAGGGAGAGGUUCGUGGAAUUCCGAGUGUAGCAGUGAAAUGUGUAGAUAUUCGGAAGAACACCAGUGGCGAAGGCAGCGAACUGGCCCUUAAUUGACGCUCAGGCACGAAAGCAUGGGGAUCAAACAGG
rnacentral:rRNA from 1 species